UACGUAGGGGGCAAGCGUUGUCCGGAUUUAUUGGGCGUAAAGAGCGUGUAGGCGGCUUGGCAAGUCCGCUGUGAAAACUUGAGGCUCAACCUCGAGACGUCGGUGGAAACUGCCUCGCUAGAGUCCGGAAGAGGAGAGUGGAAUUCCUGGUGUAGCGGUGAAAUGCGCAGAUAUCAGGAAGAACACCCGUGGCUAAGGCGGCUCUCUAGUACGGUACUGACGCUGAGACGCGAAAGCGUGGGGAGCGAACAGG
rnacentral:rRNA from 1 species